AACGAACGCUGGCAGCAUGCCUAACACAUGCAAGUCGAACGAGACCUUCGGGUCUAGUGGCGCACGGGUGCGUAACGCGUGGGAACCUGCCCUUAGGUUCGGAAUAACUCCCCGAAAGGGGUGCUAAUACCGGAUAAUGUCUUCGGACCAAAGAUUUAUCGCCUUUGGAUGGGCCCGCGUUGGAUUAGCUAGUUGGUAGGGUAAAAGCCUACCAAGGCGACGAUCCAUAGCUGGUCUGAGAGGAUGAUCAGCCACACUGGGACUGAGACACGGCCCAGACUCCUACGGGAGGCAGCAGUGGGGAAUAUUGGACAAUGGGCGAAAGCCUGAUCCAGCAAUGCCGCGCGAGUGAUGAAGGCCUUAGGGUUGUAAAGCUCUUUUACCCGGGAUGAUAAUGACAGUACCGGGAGAAUAAGCUCCGGCUAACUCCGUG
rnacentral:rRNA from 1 species